AACGAACGCUGGCGGCGUGGAUUAGGCAUGCAAGUCGAGCGAGAACCCGCAAGGGGGACAGCGGCAAACGGGGUAGGAAUGAUUGGUGACGUACCCUCGGGACGGGGAUAGCCACGGGAAACUGUGGGUAAUACCCGAUAAUCUCCCAGGUUUGAAGACCUGGGUGCAAAGGUGUGAUUCCACCGGAGGAGCGGCCAAUCUGGUAUUAGCUAGUUGGUAGGGUAACGGCCUACCAAGGCUACGAUGCCUAGGGGGUGUGAGAGCAUGGCCCCCACCACUGGGACUGAGAUACUGCCCAGACACCUACGGGUGGCUGCAGUCGAGAGUCCUCGGCAAUGGGCGAAAGCCUGACCGAGCGACGCCGCGUGCGGGAUGAAGGCCUUCGGGUUGUAAACCGCUGUCAGAGGGGAUGAAGUUAUAGGAGGUUCUCCUUCUAUAUUGACAGAGCCUCAGAGGAAGCACGGGCUAAGUAUGUGCCAGCCGCCGCCGUAAGAC
rnacentral:rRNA from 1 species